rnacentral:rRNA from 1 species
ACAGAGGUCCCAAGCGUUGUUCGGAUUCACUGGGCGUAAAGGGUGCGUAGGCGGUUUGAUAAGUCUGAUGUGAAAUCCCGCAGCUUAACUGCGGAACUGCAUUGGAAACUGUUUGACUAGAGGAAUGGAGGGGAGACUGGAAUACUUGGUGUAGCAGUGAAAUGCGUAGAUAUCAAGUGGAACACCAGUGGCGAAGGCGAGCCUCUGGACAUUUCCUGACGCUGAGGCACGAAAGCCAGGGGAGCAAACGGGA